rnacentral:rRNA from 1 species
UACGAAGGGGGCUAGCGUUGCUCGGAAUCACUGGGCGUAAAGGGUGCGUAGGCGGGUCUUUAAGGCAGGGGUGAAAUCCUGGAGCUCAACUCCAGAACUGCCUUUGAUACUGGCGAUCUCGAGUCCGGGAGAGGUGAGUGGAACUGCGAGUGUAGAGGUGAAAUUCGUAGAUAUUCGCAAGAACACCAGUGGCGAAGGCGGCUCACUGGCCCGGUACUGACGCUGAGGUGCGAAAGCGUGGGGAGCAAACAGG